rnacentral:rRNA from 1 species
UUAAAUUGAAGAGUUUGAUCAUGGCUCAGAUUGAACGCUGGCGGCAGGCCUAACACAUGCAAGUCGAACGGUAACAGGAAGCAGCUUGCUGCUUUGCUGACGAGUGGCGGACGGGUGAGUAAUGUCUGGGAAACUGCCUGAUGGAGGGGGAUAACUACUGGAAACGGUGGCUAAUACCGCAUAACGUCGCAAGACCAAAGAGGGGGACCUUCGGGCCUCUUGCCAUCAGAUGUGCCCAGAUGGGAUUAGCUAGUUGGUGAGGUAACGGCUCACCAAGGCGACGAUCCCUAGCUGGUCUGAGAGGAUGACCAGCCACACUGGAACUGAGACACGGUCCAGACUCCUACGGGAGGCAGCAGUGGGGAAUAUUGCACAAUGGGCGCAAGCCUGAUGCAGCCAUGCCGCGUGUAUGAAGAAGGCCUUCGGGUUGUAAAGUACUUUCAGCGGGGAGGAAGGUGUUGCGGUUAAUAACCGCAGCAAUUGACGUUACCCGCAGAAGAAGCACCGGCUAACUCCGUGCCAGCAGCCGCGGUAAUACGGAGGGUGCAAGCGUUAAUCGGAAUUACUGGGCGUAAAGCGCACGCAGGCGGUCUGUCAAGUCGGAUGUGAAAUCCCCGGGCUCAACCUGGGAACUGCAUUCGAAACUGGCAGGCUUGAGUCUUGUAGAGGGGGGUAGAAUUCCAGGUGUAGCGGUGAAAUGCGUAGAGAUCUGGAGGAAUACCGGUGGCGAAGGCGGCCCCCUGGACAAAGACUGACGCUCAGGUGCGAAAGCGUGGGGAGCAAACAGGAUUAGAUACCCUGGUAGUCCACGCCGUAAACGAUGUCUACUUGGAGGUUGUGCCCUUGAGGCGUGGCUUCCGGAGCUAACGCGUUAAGUAGACCGCCUGGGGAGUACGGCCGCAAGGUUAAAACUCAAAUGAAUUGACGGGGGCCCGCACAAGCGGUGGAGCAUGUGGUUUAAUUCGAUGCAACGCGAAGAACCUUACCUGGUCUUGACAUCCACAGAAGAAUCCAGAGAUGGAUUUGUGCCUUCGGGAACUGUGAGACAGGUGCUGCAUGGCUGUCGUCAGCUCGUGUUGUGAAAUGUUGGGUUAAGUCCCGCAACGAGCGCAACCCUUAUCCUUUGUUGCCAGCGGUCCGGCCGGGAACUCAAAGGAGACUGCCAGUGAUAAACUGGAGGAAGGUGGGGAUGACGUCAAGUCAUCAUGGCCCUUACGACCAGGGCUACACACGUGCUACAAUGGCGCAUACAAAGAGAAGCGACCUCGCGAGAGCAAGCGGACCUCAUAAAGUGCGUCGUAGUCCGGAUUGGAGUCUGCAACUCGACUCCAUGAAGUCGGAAUCGCUAGUAAUCGUGGAUCAGAAUGCCACGGUGAAUACGUUCCCGGGCCUUGUACACACCGCCCGUCACACCAUGGGAGUGGGUUGCAAAAGAAGUAGGUAGCUUAACCUUCGGGAGGGCGCUUACCACUUUGUGAUUCAUGACUGGGGUGAAGUCGUAACAAGGUAACCGUAGGGGAACCUGCGGUUGGAUCACCUCCUUACCUGAAAGAA